rnacentral:rRNA from 1 species
GGCCUGGUUGGGUGGUCUUGCCGCAAGGUAAGCACUGCUCCGAUCGGGUCUUUCCUUCUGGGGAACCAGCGUGCUCUUAAUUGGGUGCGCUGGGGAUCCAGGACUUUUACUUUGAAAAAAUUAGAGUGUUUAAAGCAGGCUCACGCUUGAAUACAUUAGCAUGGAAUAACGAAAUAGGAC